GGACACGGGGCCUUUCCCCUCUAGGGGGCGCAGGUUCUGAUCUGGCCCCGGGGGGGGACUGCUGGGCUCAGGGGGACGGGGAAUGGGACACGGGGCCUUUCCCCUCUAGGGGGCGCAGGUUCUGAUCCAGCCCCGGGGGGGACGGGGACUGCUGGGCUCAGGGGGACGGGGAAUGGGACACGGGGCCUUUCCCCUCUAGGGGGCGCAGGUUCUGAUCUGGCCCCAUUCCGGUGGGUGAACUCUACGGCUGAGUGGGCGGGC